rnacentral:rRNA from 1 species
UGAAGCCUGGCGCGGCCUAACACAUGCAAGUCGCGACAUGGUAACCUGGUACUUGACCGACUGGAGAAACUGAACGGGUGAGUAACGCGUGGGGAAUCUGCCUUUGAGCGGGGGACAACAUUUGGAAACGAACGCAAAUACCGCAUAAAAACCUUAAACACAAGUUUUAAGUUUGAAAGAUGCAAUUGCAUCACUCAAAGAUGAUCCCGCGUUGUAUAGCUAGUUGGUGAGGUAAAGGCUCACCAAGGCGAUGAUACAUAGCCGACCUGAGAGGGUGAUCGGCCACAUUGGGACUGAGACACGGCCCAAACUUCUACGGUAGGCAGCAGUAGGGAAACUUCGUCGCAUGGACGAAAGUCUGACCGGCAACGCCGCGUGAGUGAAGAAGGUUUUCGGAUCGUAAAACUCUGCUUGGUAGAGAAGAACGUUGGUGAGAGUGGAAAGCUCAUCAAGUGACGGUAACUACCCAGAAAGGGACGGCUAACUACGUGCCAGCAGCCGCGGUAAUACGUAGGUCCCGAGCGUUGUCCGGAUUUAUUGGGCGUAAAGCGAGCGCAGUUGGUUUAUUAAGUCUGGUGUAAAAGGCAGUGGCUCAACCAUUGUAUGCAUUGGAAACUGGUAGACUUGAGUGCAGGAGAGGAGAGUGGAAUUCCAUGUGUAGCGGUGAAAUGCGUUGAUUUUUGUUAUGAGCGCCGGUGGCGAAAGCGGCUCUCUGGCCUGUAACUGACACUGAGGCUCGAAAGCGUGGGGAGCAAACAGGAUUAGAUACCCUGGUAGUCCACGCCGUAAACGAUGAGUGCUAGAUGUAGGGAGCUAUAAGUUCUCUGUAUCGCAGCUAACGCAAUAAGCACUCCGCCUGGGGAGUACGACCGCAAGGUUGAAACUCAAAGGAAUUGACGGGA